UUUAAAAAAACAGUAAAGGAGAGAUAAUUGUUUUGUCCAGACGUUUCUUUUUUGGUAAAAAAAUCAGAUUAGUUCUCCUCUGAAAUGACGAUUGAGAUGGCGAUUCAAAGCUCCAAAAAACACAAAUCCAUGGUGGUAAUGAUGGAAUCAAGGUUGCUUGAAGGGGUGAACACGUUCUGUAGCAAAUCAAACAUCAACCGAUUAUUCUGAUUUGGAUCUAAGUCAAACCGACGAUUCAGCAGGCGGAACACCUCUCAAGAUUUACCGAUCUACAUAUUUAGAUCGAAGAAAUCUUUGACAAGAACCAUGAUUUUGAGAUGAUUGUCGAUAUUUGAAAAACAACAAAACGACAUCGAUUCCGUCAUGACCGAUUUUGACCCCAACAGUGAACACGUUCUGUAGCAAAUCAAAGAUCAACCGAUUAUUCUGAUUUGGAUCUAAGUCAAACUGACGAUUCAGCAGGCGGAACACCUCUCAAGAUUUACCGAUCUACAUAUUUAGAUCGAAGAAAUCUUUGAGAAGAACCAUGAUUUUGAGAUGAUUGUCGAUAUUUGAAAGACAACAAAACGUGAGAUUGGAAUGACUUCGAAGCGUCUGAAGAAUAUCUGAAGCUGUCAAAAUGGAUCGUUUUAAAGUCGAUUCGAAAAAAAAUUGGAAACAAAGCGUCGUGCGUUGGCAUUUUUAGAAACAGAGCUGUAUUGGAUACUUCUGGAUGACAUGGGACAGAUAUAAAACACUCCAUCAAUACGUAACUUAUCCAGGAGACUCUUACUUGAAUGGCAAGAUAUAUGCCGAUGAAAAGGAUAUGGAAACAUGGCUUCUCGAUCAUUCAUAUUCCGCAAAUAUCAAAAUUAACUAAAAUUGGUAAAGUCCUCAAAAGAUGUCGGACCUCUGACAAUGUUUAGCAAGGAACGCAAGUAGAAAGCUUCUUCCACAUUUCGUGGAGCAUAUUUGAGUUUCUGAACGAUAGUCAUUUUGUAGGAAUGGUCGGUUGAUUGAUAGGAUCCAGUUGCAGGACUGAGGCCGAUAUUCUGAAAGUGCCUCCGGACUUCAACAGGAAGAAGGCAUCCUUUAAUCUCCAUGAAUGAUCGGUUGAUCGAUAGCAUCCAUUUGCAGGACUGAGGCUGAAAUUCUGAAUCCACCUCCAUGCUCCAACUGGAAGAAGGCGUCCUUUACUCUCCAUGCCACCCACCUGAAACUAAUCCAUCAUCUAUAACCUGCUCGCUCCUUCCCUACGUCUCGACGGUGUCGUUGUUGCUGUGACGUUUUAUGUUCACCACCCCUCUGGCCAGUCAACGGCGUAACGGUUUGGGGUUGCAUUCAAUCGACAAAAUCACCCUUCUCAUUAACGCCAUUGAUCCAGAGACCACAACCUCCACUACGCCGCAUUCAUGACAACCCCUUCUUCCUCCAUGUUUAGUGAAUCUAGACCUAUAAAUAUGAGAGCAGGCUUUGUUGAUAUGCAUCACUUGCUCCCUCUCAAACAUUAUAAUCCUUAGAGAAUCACUAAUCAGCGAUGGCAACCUCCUUCGUUUUCAUCGUCGAUUGGAAAGCCGGCCGCUGUAACAACGUCGUUGAAGUCCGUUUGUUGAGGUUUUGGGAGGCAUGUAAUGACAAAGUUGAUAAGCCGCCGAAGCAAAGCAUCUAUUGGUAAUCGCUAUAUAGGGUACAACCAUACAAAUGUUGAGAACCGCGGGGAAAGCAAGCUCCCCGUUCAUCUCCGAUGUUUCCGAUGUUGUGGGCAUCACUUAUACGAUUUCAGUUCCGACACAAUUCAUUUAACUUCAAAGCAUCAGACCAUUACCAUUUCCUGAAUCUUCAAUGAACGUCAGCUUCGUCCAAUCCCAGACUUUGGUGAUGAUGGAAGCAACGGACUCGGAGACAAUAUACACAGAGCAACUUCACUUACAUCCACGCUGAGUCUUGGACACGCCCACAAUGCUAAUGAGCCAUAUGUGGACCCGGUGGCUAUACAUCCACUAAGACUGCUCCCACCAAGUAGCAAUGCAUCUAAGAAGGCACACAGAGGUUAGCUUCAAGAGGAUACAAUCUCCUUUUGAAUUUAUUUAGUUUCUCCUAUGUCUCCCAGUCAAUUUACUUUAAAUAUAAGCAUAUUUCCUACUUAAUCAAAUAUGAGGUUGGUUUGACCGCUAAUCAGUCAUAUGUUUAUUGUCAUAAUCAAAUACUAUUUACUUCUAAUAUAUAUUGGAAAUGCCACAAAUGACUAACUUUGGCCUACCA